rnacentral:misc_RNA from 1 species
UACGUAGGGAGCAAGCGUUGUCCGGAUUUACUGGGUGUAAAGGGUGCGCAGGCGGAUCAAUAAGUCAAGGGUGAAAUCUCACGGCUCAACCGUGAAAUUGCCUCUGAAACUGUUGAUCUUGAGUUUGGGAGAGGUCGAUGGAAUUCCAGGUGUAGCGGUGAAAUGCUUAGAUAUCUGGAAGAACACCAGUAGCGAAGGCGGUCGACUGGCCCAUAACUGACGCUCAGGCACGAAAGCGUGGGGAGCGAACAGG